AGUGAACGCUGGCGGCGUGCCUAAUACAUGCAAGUCGAACGGAGUGGCGCACGGGUGAGUAAUAUAUAGCUAAUCUGCCCCUUGCUGGAGGACAACAGUUAGAAAUGACUGCUAAUACUCCAUAGCAAGGGAUGAGACUAUAUCGUAUCAGCUAGUCGGUGGGGUAACGGCCUACCGAGGCUAUGACGCGUAACUGGUCUGAGAGGAUGAUCAGUGAAAUUGGAAGUGAGACACGGGCGAAACACCUACGGGAGGCAGCAGUAGGGAAUAUUGCGCAAGGGGGGAAAGCCUGACGCAGCAACGCCGCGUGGAGGAUGACACUUGUCGGAGCGUAAAAUCAUUUUGUUAGGGAAGCGUUACCAACAGAAUAAGCACCGGCUAACUUCGUGCCAGCCGCCGCGGUAAUUC
rnacentral:rRNA from 1 species